rnacentral:lncRNA from 1 species
AUAAACAAAAAAUUGGAUAACAACGGGUUUUGAACUCGGUAGUCAUGUUGUGUGAUUUUUCUUUCUCUUUUUUUUCGUGCAUCACAUAUACUCUGGGGGUUAAUUUCACUCUUUUGACUCUUUUUCUACUCGAAUUUUCCGAGCAUUUUAUAUCUGUUAGAGUCUUAAGUCUCGGCAAGUGCAUUUUUCUCUUUUGUUUUUCUUUUCUUUUUUCUCUUUUUUUUUUUCUUUUUUUUUUCUUUUAAAGAAAAUACAUACUAUUUUUCUUUUUGUAUGAUCUCAUCUUAUGCACUUGCCUUCUCUUUCAAGAUUUCCACCCCAAACUUAGUUUUAUUGCACAUCUUGCAAUUCAC